GGCCGACUGGCCUAAUGGUUAAGGCGUUAGUUUCCGGCUCUGGAUUAGCUAAAGAUUCGGGGUUCGAAUCCCCGGUUGGUCG